rnacentral:rRNA from 1 species
AGUCAUAUGCUUGUCUCAAAGAUUAAGCCAUGCAUGUGUAAGUAUAAGCAACUUUAUAGUGAAACUGCGAAUGGCUCAUUAAAUCAGUUAUCGUUUAUUUGAUAAUAUCAUUACUACUUGGAUAACCGUGGUAAUUCUAGAGCUAAUACAUGCUAAAAAUUCCGACUUUUGAAGGAAUGUAUUUAUUAGAUAUCAAACCAAUACUUUUUUUAAGUUUCAGGUGAUUCAUAAUAACUUAUCGCAGCGCAUAGCUUUUGCUAGCGCGAGAUCAUUCAAAUACCUGCCCUAUCAAGUUUAGAUGUGAGGGUAGUGUCCUCACAUGCUUUUGACGGGUAACGGGGAAUUAGGGUUCGACUCCGGAGAGGGAGCCUGAGAAACGGCUACCACAUCCAAGGAAGGCAGCAGGCGCGCAAAUUACCCAAUCCCGACACGGGGAGGUAGUGACAAGAAAUACCGAUACAGGGCUCAUAAGGGCCUUGUAAUGGAAUGAGUACAAUUUAAACCUAUUAACGAGGAACCACUAGAGGGCAAGUCUGGUGCCAGCAGCCGCGGUAAUUCCAGCUCUAGUAGCAUACAUUAAAAUUGUUGCAGUUAAAACGCCCGUAGUUGAAGUUUGGAUUUGGUUAUUUAGUCCGCCUCACCGCGUGUACUAAUAUGACUAGAUCUUUCUUUCUAAAAUUGCUUUUGUCAUUUAUGAUGAAAGUUUUAUUUUUAGGAUUUUUACUUUGAAAAAAUUAGAGUGUUCAAAGCAGGCAUUUGCUCGGAUACUACAGCAUGGAAUAAUGAAAUAUGACUAGUGGUUGUAUUUUGUUGGUUUGGAUGACCGCUGUAAUGAUUGAUAGGGAUAGUUGGGGGCAUCGGUAUUUGUUUGUCAGAGGUGAAAUUCUUGGAUUAAACAAAGACCAACUGUUGCGAAAGCAUUUGCCAAGGAUGUUUUCAUUAAUCAAGGACGAAAGUUAGGUGAGCGAAAACGAUCAGAUACCGUUGUAGUCUUAACUAUAAACUAUGCCGACUAGGGAUCAGGUGGUGACCAUUUUCAUAGGCCCACUUGGCACCUUGUGAGAAAUCAAAGUUUCUGGGUUCU